GUUACAUGCGAUCUCCGACGGCGCUAAAAAAAAAAGGUCUUCCACAUAAAAUGAUCCUAUUCUAACUGCCGAGCGGCUACUCUAGUAAUGGCUGUAACUCAAAAACUAUUU